UACGUAGGGUGCGAGCGUUGUCCGGAAUUAUUGGGCGUAAAGGGCUCGUAGGCGGUUUGUCGCGUCGACUGUGAAAACCCGAGGCUUAACCUCGGGCCUGCAGUCGAUACGGGCAGACUAGAGUUCGGUAGGGGAGACUGGAAUUCCUGGUGUAGCGGUGAAAUGCGCAGAUAUCAGGAGGAACACCGGUGGCGAAGGCGGUUCUCUGGGCCGAUACUGACGCUGAGGAGCGAAAGCGUGGGGAGCGAACAGG
rnacentral:rRNA from 1 species